GCUUUUUAACUGGUGGAAGCUUCAUGGCUCAAGGUUUAUCUUGCUUUGAACUGCCACUAAGAUUUUCACACUGAGCCUAUAACAAAGGAAAACUGGCUUUCCUGAGGAUUUUGGUGCCAUGCUAACCUUUCUUUCAGAGGCUUAUCUCACUGAGAUGAAAAUACCAAAACUGAAAGCAGAUGUGAACAGACACAAGGAUGGCCUAGCAGAUGGGAAAUGAGAUUUGGGUGCCAAAGACCAGGUUCUCACCUCUAGCACAGACCCACAUAUGAUGUUGGACAUGACUACACCCCUGCAGCCCAUGACAGUACAGCUAAUCUGAAGAUCUGCUCACAGAACCCCCAUUAUUAUCAAAAUCGUAUUUUAAUUUGUAUUUAAAGCCACGGAUAUACUAAAACAGCACCAAGGGUGGGAAUCUGGGGACAGAAAUCUCUAGGUAACUAUCCUGAAGAAAUCCCUCCAAAGCUGCUGCUUUCUUUUUUCUUCACAGUCAGAGUUUUGUUACGGUUUCUCUGCCUGGCAAUUGUGGCAGCCUCUCUAGAGGAUACAUUUCCAAUAGAGGUUUCUUGCAAAUUUGUAAUUUAUGUGCAUCAAAGGUGGAUGGUGCCAGCAGAAAACAACUGUUUGCUGCUUCUUCGCACUUUGCCCAAUUCUAACUCUCGCUCAGGCUUAUCAUUUAGUGAAUAAAGCACAGCAUUAAGUGUAUGUUCCUUAUUGUUUCCUUAUGAUUUGAGGUUUGGCGAUGAGGGGUUGUGAAAAGUGUUCUGAUGCUUUUUGGAUCUGGUGAACAUGGCCACAUCCAACUUUGACUGUUGUUCCCUUCCCACACAUUCCCAUUUGACAGAAAGACUUUUUGUCUUGAUCUCUUUCUGUUUUGCUUCCAGCACAUCCUUUCAUAAUGUAAUUAUAAAACUCCUUUGACAUCUAAAGGUAUUGCAUCAAUGAGAUUACUGUUAGCUAUAACUUGAACAGCUGCUCUGUAAACCCCUUGAGUAGGAAAGAAAACAAGUUUAUUUUAUAAACAAUUUGUUAAGCUACCCCCGUGAGUAUUCAGGCAGCUGGCCUGGAGCCCAGGUACCACUUAUGUGGUUUUGGGUUGGGCAUAAGCAGAUUUUAAAUAGUGCAUACACCAAGCCCUGGCAUGUCAAGUUCCCACAGUGCUCUAUGGAAAUACUUCAUUGUGCUGUUGACUGGGCAAAUCAAAACUUUUCUUGAAACAUACCUGCCCGCAAUCCUCACAAACCACUAAGAGGCUGACUUGUGGGUCCGUGUCUGAUUCCAGCUUCCAGCAGUGUCCUCUCAAAAGUGGGGACAGGAUAUAUAACUAAAUGGCACUAGAGAAUUAAACAAGGGGGGUUAGGAGGAUUCCCCCCAUGCUGCUUAUCAAGCUCCUAAAGUGAAGCACACCACCUCUGUGAUUAAAAAGCAGUUGGAAAUAAUAUGAAUAGUUGGAAAGAGUCAUGCAUCACUUAAGGGUAGAUGUGUUGCAGGCCUUCAGCAAUUGCUCUGUUUCUGUCCUGGAAGCUAUACUGGCUGCUUGAGGACAAGGUUAAUCACACCUGUAUUCACCCUCACAAAUAUUUCUGUGAGCUGUUUGGUGAUUAUCCUGGCCACCGGCACAGAAAAGCCUGAGAACAGUAAUCCGGAUUCUGAUUUACACCCAUUGUGCCGCUGGCACAAACAGCUUAAAUGAAGCACCGGUUUACAGAAUGUUAUUGUUUGGAUUGUUUAGUCUUUAUUGACCUGAGUAUCUCAACAUGGCCAAAAGGUUGAUUUAUACAGGCACAAGAUAGCCAAGAUCAAGGCUUCAAAGCCAACUGGAAAAUAAACUUAGUGGUAUCAAUUGAAUUGUGAAAAUUUUGUCUUAAAUAAUUCGGGUAUUAUAAUGACUUCAUCUUUUGAUAGAAACUUGUGUAUGUUUCCCCUACCUGGUCUCUUGGGUGUGCUGUGAAACUUUUUAAGAGUCAGUUUAUGUGCAUUGUUACUACUAAAACUAACAAUAAU